UUUAAGUGCAACCAUAAGUUUUCGCGCCCAAUUUUGAUCGUCCGUCUUAUUUGAAAUUUUUUUAUAAUUAGUAUUUUUUGUUGUUAUGUGAUGAUAAAACAUGAAUAGUGCUUUACUCGUGACUUAUGUUUUUAAUUUUUUUUUCAAAUAAGAUGUUGGUCAAAGUUAGGCGCAGAAAACCAUUGCUGCACUUAAA
rfam:Oryza rufipogon genomic scaffold, chr11